GACCUGCUAGCUCAGCCGGUUAGAGCGUCAUGCUGAUAACGCGAGGGCCAAAGGUAUGACCCCCGUGCAGGUCA
rfam:Ixodes scapularis strain Wikel colony gcontig_1107728746770, whole genome shotgun sequence.